rnacentral:rRNA from 1 species
UUAAGCGACUAAGCGUACACGGUGGAUGCCCUGGCAGUCAGAGGCGAUGAAGGACGUGCUAAUCUGCGAAAAGCGUCGGUAAGGUGAUAUGAACCGUUAUAACCGGCGAUGUCCGAAUGGGGAAACCCAGUGCAAUUCGUUGCACUAUCGUUAACUGAAUACAUAGGUUAACGAGGCGAACCGGGGGAACUGAAACAUCUAAGUACCCCGAGGAAAAGAAAUCAACCGAGAUUCCCCCAGUAGCGGCGAGCGAACGGGGAGCAGCCCAGAGUCUGAAUCAGCUUGUGUGUUAGUGGAACGGUCUGGAAAGUCCGACGGUACAGGGUGAUAGUCCCGUACACCAAAAUGCACAGGUUGUGAACUCGAAGAGUAGGGCGGGACACGUGGUAUCCUGUCUGAAUAUGGGGGGACCAUCCUCCAAGGCUAAAUACUCCUGACUGACCGAUAGUGAACCAGUACCGUGAGGGAAAGGCGAAAAGAACCCCGGCGAGGGGAGUGAAAAAGAACCUGAAACCGUGUACGUACAAGCAGUGGGAGCACCUUCGGGUGUGACUGCGUACCUUUUGUAUAAUGGGUCAGCGACUUAUAUUCUGUAGCAAGGUUAACCGUAUAGGGGAGCCGCAGGGAAACCGAGUCUUAACUGGGCGUUAAGUUGCAGGGUAUAGACCCGAAACCCGGUGAUCUAGCCAUGGGCAGGUUGAAGGUUGGGUAACACUAACUGGAGGACCGAACCGACUAAUGUUGAAAAAUUAGCGGAUGACUUGUGGCUGGGGGUGAAAGGCCAAUCAAACCGGGAGAUAGCUGGUUCUCCCCGAAAGCUAUUUAGGUAGCGCCUCGUGAAUUCAUCUUCGGGGGUAGAGCACUGUUUCGGCUAGGGGGUCAUCCCGACUUACCAACCCGAUGCAAACUACGAAUACCGAAGAAUGUUAUCACGGGAGACACACGGCGGGUGCUAACGUCCGUCGUGAAGAGGGAAACAACCCAGACCGCCAGCUAAGGUCCCAAAGUCAUGGUUAAGUGGGAAACGAUGUGGGAAGGCACAGACAGCCAGGAUGUUGGCUUAGAAGCAGCCAUCAUUUAAAGAAAGCGUAAUAGCUCACUGGUCGAGUCGGCCUGCGCGGAAGAUGUAACGGGGCUAAACCAUGCACCGAAGCUGCGGCAGCGACACUAUGUGUUGUUGGGUAGGGGAGCGUUCUGUAAGCCUGCGAAGGUGACCUGUGAGGGUUGCUGGAGGUAUCAGAAGUGCGAAUGCUGACAUAAGUAACGAUAAAGCGGGUGAAAAGCCCGCUCGCCGGAAGACCAAGGGUUCCUGUCCAACGUUAAUCGGGGCAGGGUGAGUCGACCCCUAAGGCGAGGCCGAAAGGCGUAGUCGAUGGGAAACAGGUUAAUAUUCCUGUACUUGGUGUUACUGCGAAGGGGGGACGGAGAAGGCUAUGUUAGCCGGGCGACGGUUGUCCCGGUUUAAGCAUGUAGGCUGAUUGUCCAGGCAAAUCCGGAUAAUCAAGGCUGAGGUGUGAUGACGAGGCACUACGGUGCUGAAGUAACAAAUGCCCUGCUUCCAGGAAAAGCCUCUAAGCAUCAGGUAACAUCAAAUCGUACCCCAAACCGACACAGGUGGUCAGGUAGAGAAUACCAAGGCGCUUGAGAGAACUCGGGUGAAGGAACUAGGCAAAAUGGUGCCGUAACUUCGGGAGAAGGCACGCUGGUGUGUAGGUGAAGUCCCUGCGGAUGGAGCUGAGACCAGUCGAAGAUACCAGCUGGCUGCAACUGUUUAUUAAAAACACAGCACUGUGCAAACACGAAAGUGGACGUAUACGGUGUGACGCCUGCCCGGUGCCGGAAGGUUAAUUGAUGGGGUUAUCCGUAAGGAGAAGCUCUUGAUCGAAGCCCCGGUAAACGGCGGCCGUAACUAUAACGGUCCUAAGGUAGCGAAAUUCCUUGUCGGGUAAGUUCCGACCUGCACGAAUGGCGUAAUGAUGGCCAGGCUGUCUCCACCCGAGACUCAGUGAAAUUGAACUCGCUGUGAAGAUGCAGUGUACCCGCGGCAAGACGGAAAGACCCCGUGAACCUUUACUAUAGCUUGACACUGAACAUUGAGCCUUGAUGUGUAGGAUAGGUGGGAGGCUUUGAAGCGUGGACGCCAGUCUGCGUGGAGCCAACCUUGAAAUACCACCCUUUAAUGUUUGAUGUUCUAACGUUGGCCCCUGACCGGGGUUGCGGACAGUGUCUGGUGGGUAGUUUGACUGGGGCGGUCUCCUCCCAAAGCGUAACGGAGGAGCACGAAGGUUAGCUAAUCCUGGUCGGACAUCAGGAGGUUAGUGCAAUGGCAUAAGCUAGCUUGACUGCGAGCGUGACGGCGCGAGCAGGUGCGAAAGCAGGUCAUAGUGAUCCGGUGGUUCUGAAUGGAAGGGCCAUCGCUCAACGGAUAAAAGGUACUCCGGGGAUAACAGGCUGAUACCGCCCAAGAGUUCAUAUCGACGGCGGUGUUUGGCACCUCGAUGUCGGCUCAUCACAUCCUGGGGCUGAAGUAGGUCCCAAGGGUAUGGCUGUUCGCCAUUUAAAGUGGUACGCGAGCUGGGUUUAGAACGUCGUGAGACAGUUCGGUCCCUAUCUGCCGUGGGCGCUGGAGAAUUGAGGGGGGCUGCUCCUAGUACGAGAGGACCGGAGUGGACGCAUCACUGGUGUUCGGGUUGUCAUGCCAAUGGCACUGCCCGGUAGCUAAAUGCGGAAGAGAUAAGUGCUGAAAGCAUCUAAGCACGAAACUUGCCCCGAGAUGAGUUCUCCCUGAGACUUUAAGUCUCCUGAAGGAACGUU